UUACCGGAGGCAACAUGGAUCCUGAUCCCACCCCUCUCCCCGACGGGAGUUUUCCCGCGUCCCGGUAAGUCAGUUCUCGCUGCCUUGCCAGACGCGUAAGGCAGCGACGUU
rnacentral:ncRNA from 1 species